GAUGAACGCUAGCGGCAGGCUCAAUACAUGCAAGUCGAGGGGCAGCAUGAGUAGCAAUACUUGAUGGCGACCGGCAAACGGGUGCGGAACACGUACGCAACCUUCCUUUAAGUGGGGAAUAGCCCGGGGAAACCCGGAUUAAUACCCCGUAGAUUAUGAUGUGGCAUCACAUUAUAAUUAUAGAUUCAUCGCUUAAAGAUGGGCGUGCGCCUGAUUAGGAGUUGGCGGGGUAACGGCCCACCAAGCCUGCGAUCAGUAACUGGUGUGAGAGCACGACCAGUCACACGGGCACUGAGACACGGGCCCGACUCCUACGGGAGGCAGCAGUAAGGAAUAUUGGUCAAUGGACGCAAGUCUGAACCAGCCAU
rnacentral:rRNA from 1 species